GGCGGCAUGCUUUACACAUGCAAGUCGGACGGCAGCACAGAGAAGCUUGCUUCUUGGGUGGCGAGUGGCGAACGGGUGAGUAAUAUAUCGGAACGUACCGAGUAAUGGGGGAUAACUAAUCGAAAGAUUAGCUAAUACCGCAUAUUCUCUGAGGAGGAAAGCAGGGGACCUUCGGGCCUUGCGUUAUUCGAGCGGCCGAUAUCUGAUUAGCUAGUUGGUGGGGUAAAGGCCUACCAAGGCGACGAUCAGUAGCGGGUCUGAGAGGAUGAUCCGCCACACUGGGACUGAGACACGGCCCAGACUCCUACGGGAGGCAGCAGUGGGGAAUUUUGGACAAUGGGCGCAAGCCUGAUCCAGCCAUGCCGCGUGUCUGAAGAAGGCCUUCGGGUUGUAAAGGACUUUUGUCAGGGAAGAAAAGGACAGGGUUAAUACCCCUGUUUGAUGACGUACCUGAAGAUAGCCCCGCA
rnacentral:rRNA from 1 species